CCAGACUCCUACGGGAGGCAGCAGUGGGGAAUAUUGGACAAUGGGGGGAACCCUGAUCCAGCGACGCCGCGUGAGUGAAGAAGUAUUUCGGUAUGUAAAGCUCUAUCAGCAGGGAAGAAAGAAAUGACGGUACCUGACUAAGAAGCCCCGGCUAACUACGUGCCAGCAGCCGCGGUAAUACGUAGGGGGCAAGCGUUAUCCGGAUUUACUGGGUGUAAAGGGAGCGUAGACGGCGAUGCAAGCCAGAUGUGAAAGCCCGGGGCUCAACCCCGGGACUGCAUUUGGAACUGUGUGGCUGGAGUGUCGGAGAGGCAGGCGGAAUUCCUAGUGUAGCGGUGAAAUGCGUAGAUAUUAGGAGGAACACCAGUGGCGAAGGCGGCCUGCUGGACGAUGACUGACGUUGAGGCUCGAAAGCGUGGGGAGCAAACAGGAUUAGAUACCCGCGUAA
rnacentral:rRNA from 1 species